GACAAUAUUUGUCAGCUCCUAGACGACAGGAAAAUGACAUAAGAGCUUAUUUGUAUUCAUAAUAUUGAUCUUGGAGAGCUAUAGCAUGUCACUUCUGGGUGGAGCUUGUGAUUAAUUUCCCUUUGGCCAUUUCGUAUACAGCAAAAACUUAAAGACACUGCGCAGCGGAAAAGACUAAAGCGAACCACGCUCAGCCCGAGCCCUCCUUUUACUUGUAAGUUUUUGUUGUCUGAUGCUUGUAAAUUGUUAGAUAGACUACAAGCUAACAGCAA